ensembl:lncRNA
AUGUUUUUUUUUUUUUCAAAAAAUAAGCAUAUAAAACAUAAUAAUUUAAGUAAUAUUUUAAAUAUAAAAAAUACAAUGGAAAAUAUACCACAUAUAAUAAAAUCAAAUAAUAAUUGGAAAAAUAAAAUAAUAGAAACGCCAUACACGAAUGAAAAACUAAUAACCGGUGUAGACAAUGUAAUAAAUAAAUCAUCCAUGUUAAACUCUCAUCCCGUUACACAAAAGCAUAUUAAAUUUGUAGAUGAUCAUGUACAUCUGAGUAGUAUCCAAAACGUCUUUCAAAAAAAUGUUCAACUUGAACAAAGUCAAUAUGAUAAAUCGUAUUUAAAACAACAAAAAAAUGAUAUAAAUAGUAAAGAGUUCAAUUUAGAUGAUCAAUUAAAAAAAAGUAAAAAAUUUAUUGAAAUGGAUCCCAUGUUAGUACAUGACAAUAAUGUACCCAAAUGCAACAACUUAUAUACAAAAAAACAUAACAACAAUCAUAUAAAACAUUUUUUAGGAAGGUUCAAAAUAAAAAAUACUUUAAGAACUGUUUAUAUGUAUCAUAUUGCGAUCAUUAUGCAGCUUUUUAUGUCACAAAAAAAAUUAGAAAAAACAAACAAACAAACAAAAAAUAUAUAUUAUAGUAAUAGUAGUACACUUGCAGAAAAAGAAAAAAAAAGUGGCAAUGAUGCUUUACAAACAAAAGAACAGCAGGAAUGCAUAAUGAAUAGGAACAAAAGGUGUAAUUGUAUCGAAAAAAAAAAUAAAAGUCAAGAUAAAAUUGGGGGUAGAAUGGGUAAUACUGAACGAGAUUUUAAGAAGGCUACCAAAAAGCGCUCGUCAAAUUGUAAUAACUGCAGCAAAGAAUGUGCUCGAAAAAAAACAAAAAUAUCAUUUAAACAAAAGGAAUCAUUCGAAUGUAUAAAUUUGUAUGAACCAAAGGUUACAAAUAAAAAAUUGCUAGCUCGAUAUAAAAAUAAUAUGAAUUAUUGUUAUUCUAUGGAAAACAUUUUGAAUAAAAAAGAUUUUAUAAAAAACAAAUUAAACAAGUUUCGUUUAAUGUAUGAAUUAAAAAAUAAAAUUAAUAAUACACCUUAUAAAAAAAAAGAAUGGGUUAAAGCGAACAAUAUAUUGAUAAACCAAUUUCAGAUGGACAUAUGUAUGUAUAUAAAAAAAAAAUUAUUUAUUUAUUUUAAAAACAAUAUUGUUAACUACUUUUUUAUAUUAUUAAAUGAAAACCUAGCUAGAUGUAUAAUAAAUUAUUUUCCAACACAUAUAUAUAAUUGUACAUAUACAAAUGUAAAUUAUUAUUAUGAUAAAUGUGUGAAAAAUAUAUAUCAUUUUGAAUUUAUAUCAUUAGUUGAUUUAUUAAAAAUAUUUAUAUUAAAUUUUGGAGAUAGUUUUACGUUAUAUAAACAACUUAUUAAAUCUUUAUAUUUGCAAAAAAUUUAUAAUAUACAGAAAGCUUUGAUAUAUAUAAAUAAAAGAAACUAUUUAGUUGAUGUUUCUCAUUUAUACUCAAAAUAUAUUUCAAAUAAUUUAAUAUGCAACAAUAUAUAUUCCAAUUUAGUUUAUAAAGGUAUUUUUUAUAAAAAAAAAUUAUCGUUUUUCACUAAAAAAUAUCUUUUUAAUAAUGUCUUCGAUAUCGUUUAUUUAUAUCGAGUACAUUAUGCAGAAUCUAAAAUAGUCCAAGCAAGAAACAGUGAAUGUACAUUUAAAAAAUCAAUUUAUGCAAAUAAUGAUAUACGAAAACUGUUACAUCAUAUUGAUGUAUUAUAUAAUGAGGAACAAUAUAUGAGCAAUGUACAUUAUAACCAUGGUACUGAUGAAUAUGCUUUUUCUUGUUAUGACAAUGUUGAUUACGAACAUAAGAACGAUUACGACUAUAACAAUAAUAAUAAAAACAGUUACAUGUAUAACGAUAAAUAUAUAAAUAAUAACGGAGAUUACUCAAGUAACUAUACCUUCAUGCAAAACGGUAAUAAUUUUAAAAAACAUAACAAACAGAUGGUAGAAUAUCACAAUAACGAUUAUAAUAGUAAUAAUAAUAUUAAUAACUUAUUAAACAAUUAUGAUGAUACAAGUGAUUGUUCUAAUAAAGAAUGUAAAAUGUUUUAUUUUAACAAAAAGCUAACGAUUUUUGAUCUUAACUAUUAUAUUAAUAAUUUUUUAAGAGGAAACAUCAACUUAUAUGCAUGUAAUAAUUAUGUAUUGACUGAUACGAGUACGAAUACGAGUACUACCGAUAUUGACAACAUUGAUUUUGGUAGUAUGGAUAAUGAUAGUAGUAGUGAACAUACAACUACUAAUGAUACAACAUGUGUUAACAAACGUAGUAAAAAUAAACGUACUGUACCAUCUCAACCAAAUUCACAGUUUAAAAAAUCAAACAACAAUAUCACGUAUACGAAGUUAAAAAAAAAAAAAAAAAAAAAUCAAAUACAGAAGUACCAGAAUCAAUAA